rnacentral:tRNA from 1 species
AUUUAUAUAGUUUAUUAAAACGUUUCAUUUUCAAUGAAAAAAUAAAUUUUUAUUUUAUAAAUG